AGAGUUUGAUCCAUGGCUCAGAUUGAACGCUGGCGGCAGGCCUAACACAUGCAAGUCGAGCGGCAGCGGGAAAGUAGCUUGCUACUUUUGCCGGCGAGCGGCGGACGGGUGAGUAAUGCCUGGGGAUCUGCCCAGUCGAGGGGGAUAACAGUUGGAAACGACUGCUAAUACCGCAUACGCCCUACGGGGGAAAGCAGGGGACCUUCGGGCCUUGCGCGAUUGGAUGAACCCAGGUGGGAUUAGCUAGUUGGUGAGGUAAUGGCUCACCAAGGCGACGAUCCCUAGCUGGUCUGAGAGGAUGAUCAGCCACACUGGAACUGAGACACGGUCCAGACUCCUACGGGAGGCAGCAGUGGGGAAUAUUGCACAAUGGGGGAAACCCUGAUGCAGCCAUGCCGCGUGUGUGAAGAAGGCCUUCGGGUUGUAAAGCACUUUCAGCGAGGAGGAAAGGUUGGUAGCGAAUAACUGCCAGCUGUGACGUACUCGCAGAAGAAGCAC
rnacentral:rRNA from 1 species